UACGUAGGCAGCAAGCGUUGUUCGGAGUUACUGGGCGUAAAGAGUGCGUAGGCGGUUCUCUAAGUUCGGUGUGAAAUCUCCCGGCUCAACUGGGAGGGUGCGCCGAAGACUGGGGGGCUUGAGUGUGGGAGAGGUAAGCGGAAUUCCUGGUGUAGCGGUGAAAUGCGUAGAUAUCAGGAGGAACACCUGCGGUGUAGACGGCUUACUGGACCAUAACUGACGCUGAGGCACGAAAGCGUGGGUAGCAAACAGG
rnacentral:rRNA from 1 species